CUGGAAUCCAUUUUAGGCCCCAAAAAUGCCAUUUUUGAGGUAAUUUUCUCCAUUUUGGGUCAAAAAUGCCAUUUUGGGGGGUCAUUUUGUCCCUUUUUGGUGCUGGAAUCCAUUUUAGGCCCCAAAAUGCCAUUUUUGAGGUAAAUUUCUCCAUUUUUGGUCCAAAAAUGCCAUUUUUGGGUCAUUUGUUCCCAUUUUUUCCGCACCAAAACCCAUUUUGGGUCCAAAAAUGGCACUUCGGGGUCAUUCGGUCCCAUUUUUGGGGUGAAUUCCUCCAUUUUGAGUCCAAAAAAUGCCAUUUUUGGGUCAUUUGGUCCCAUUUUUUGGGGUACAAAACCCCAUUUUGAGUCCAAAAAUGCCAUUUUUGGGUCAUUCGUUCCCAUUUUUUUUUCGCACCGAAUCCCAUUUUGGGUCCAAAAAUG
ensembl:lncRNA